rnacentral:lncRNA from 1 species
GUAUCAACAUAUCAACUAUGCCCUUAUCAACUUUCUUUAGUCUUUUUAAGCAUUUGCUAGUAAAUAAUUUGUUGGUACGUGUAUAGGAAUAAGGACUGAAUAGGAAAGUUGAGCAAUGAAUAUACAGAUAUAAGUCAUAUCUGUUUUUCCAUCAUGCCUAAUUUUCUGUUGUGCUUGUUACCAUUAGCUUUAUUUUUCAAUCAAACCAUUUUAUUAACUUUUUACAAUUUCAUUUAAGCAGAUAUCUAGUGUUAAAGGUGAAAGUGAACCCACAGAGGUGGAGGAUGAAUAUGUAAGAAACACUGUUGGUGAUGCCUCUGAUAAAGGAAAGCCAACUGGGAAGCCUGCAGACGUAGAUGAUGUGGUAGAUGAUGUGCACGAAGAAACCAUAGGACAUACAUGUGACGAACAACAUCAAGAAAAUGUUGAGAGCAACGAAAAAAACGAGGAUGGUGAACAGAGAGAAGAGGAACAUCAAACUCUUCAACAAGAGGAAUUGGUUUCUGAAGUUGAAAAUCAAGAGACAACUUCCACAACAGGAGCAAACAAGAUGGAGAUCUCGAAAGAAGGCGAAAACCUCAUUAAUACGGUAACCUGCUUUAUUCAAUUACAUAGUAUGUUAAAUUCCUUGGGACCUAUCUGGAAGCUAAAAUAACUUACCUAGCAUAUCUCCUCUUACUGACUCGAGAACCCUUUAUUUCUUGAUUGUUAAGCAGCACAAAAUUAUGUCUAAACAAAGAGCAAAAAAGUAAGCAAACUUAUUUAAGGAUAUGAUAACUCACCUUGUAGGUGAAGCAUACUAGUUUAUAUCAUCAUGGCUUUUAAAGGGAAUUGUCUAAAGUGAAACUCUUUUCUCAUAAUCACUAAUUGUUACCUCCAUCCAAAACUAGUUAUCUACACAAACAUUAAGGGUUUGUAUGUUGUGCAGUUGUACAGAUUUUUCACACUCCCUAUCAACCAUUACCACAUGCACCUUGAGCAAACAGUAAGUCAUCUGCUGAACAAGAUACUCGUGCAUCUAAAUAGGCCAUAUAGAUUUUGCAUUGAAAGACAAUACAAUAAUUCUAGCCUGUAAACUCUUUUCUGAAACUUGUCUUUUAUUAAACUUCUGAUUUACCAACUAUGGGCAGAUUUCUGAGUCAGUAAAUCUGGAGGAAACUAAAAUUGAACAUGGGAAGGAUGACAAGAAGAUCAAGGAGAGUGUUGAAGAUAAUCCCCGAGAUCAUGCCUUGCCUUCACAAACAAUACAUGAUGUAGCAGACGCAGACCACGCAGAAGCAAAUCAAAGUUUGGAGGGGAAGGACGACAAUAUUGCGAGUCUUGAGAAAGAAAGUAUCAAAAGCAAGGGACCUGAUGAGGUUCACCCCAGUGAAUCAGAAACACAUCAGAGUUUGGUGGACAAAGACAACAAUAUUGUAAGUCUUGAAAAAGAAAGCAUUGAAAGCAAAGGGCCUGAUGAGGUUCAACUCGGUGAAUCAGAAGCCACCAAGGUAGACUUUCUUUUGAAUUCUUCAAAACUUUAUGUAUUUAAUUUAACUAUUCAAUUUGCUUUCCUUGAACUCACUGUUUUUCCAACAUGCCUCCUCAUCUCAAGUUUGACUUGUGAAAAAUUUGAUCAACCAGGUUGCUGAAAUUGUUAGCACAACUGAUGAGGCUGAAACUACGUCUGUAGACGGAGGGGAAAGUGUUGAUGUCGACAAAGAUAAGGCAGAGUAUCAAGAGCACAAAAAUGUUAGAGGGUCAGUGAUGGAGGAAUAUAAUCAAGGGGAAGCAAAUGAAACACAAAUGGCCAAGAGCCAUGAGGUAAUAAUUGAUUCAAUGCCACGUAUGGUUUCUUACUAAGUCCAAAAUUCGUAUAUUUUACUGCAUGGCCAGAAGUAUAGAAACGAUUGAACUAAUAAUUCUUAACUUCUCCUCUAAAACCCUCAUUUCAAUAUAACAUUAAUUGUUGUCCUAUCUUGAUCAGAUCCCUGAAAUGGAUGAUCUAAGCCCUGAAAAGGCUUCGGAGACAAAUAAAUCGGUGAUGAAAGAUAUACAUGACAAAACUAAAACAAAGCAUGAAGAGCCAGAUUUUGCAAGUAACAAGCCAAUUAAUCAGACUAACAUGCCUGAACAAAGUCGAAUUCCUGAAGAAGAAAAUACUAUCAUGGAAAGCAAAACGGAGUCAAGCUUCCCAAAGGAUGCAAUUGAAAAUGCCCUGAAAUCAGACCCUGAUGAGAAAGAUGAGGAAAUGCUAAAGAAUGAGGAAUCCUCACAUAUUUUCCCAGAGUCCUCUCCCAACGUUGAUCAUAAAAUUGCUAGGGGAUUAUCUCAUCAAGAUGAAGGGAACAAGAUAUGUGAGGAUGCAGCACUAGAAACCCCAUCUGGCAAUCAAAGCCGUGAAGCAGAUGAGGAGCAAAUAGAAAUUGGGAAACCUAAAAAGCUGAACGAACUUAAACAAGAUAUUCCUAUGAAGUACUUUGAUGCUGUAAACAGUCAAGAAGAGACGAUACAUAAAGAAAAUCCUGAUAAUGUGGAAGAGAGCGAGAAGUGUGAAGUAAAGGAUGAAACUGCUUUAACACUCGAGCGAGCAUCUGCAGCGGACUCUGAAGAGCCCAGUCAUUGGCUGUUUAGCAGUUGUGAGAAGGUAUCCAAGUCUUAACCCAUACAAAAAUUUCAACAUUCUUUAUCCUUAUUUAUGAAUUGUUAAUGAAUAAACUAUUGACAAAGAAUUUUAAGUUUCUAUCCGCACAAGUUGUGCCCACCAUGCCAUACCAUGCAGACAAUAUAUCAGCAUGAUACCACCCGCAUGCCGAUGGCACAACUCAAAAUCAUUUUUUUUUCAAAAAUUAACAAGUAGCUACAUUAAUCAAAUACCAAAGAAUAUAGUUGUGCCAAAAGAAAAUAUAUGUUUUCAUAGUUGGAUAAAUUGAGUAGAAAAAGUAUAUGAAGCAGAAAGAUGAAAAAGUCUUUGAGUGUAGCAAUGCCACUCUCCUUAAAGCUAAAUCGUCCCCACCAUUCUCGUAAUUUGGUGUGCACUGGGUUAACAAAUAGCUUCUCAGGAUACAAUGAAAUAUAAACCUCAACUUCGUUUGCACACGUGAAGUCGAGCCUUUGAGCACUCACUCGAUUAAAUUGUCAAAAAGAAAAUAGAAUAAGAAACAAGAAAUUAUUAUAGAUAGAGACUUAAACUUUCCAACUGUCCUUCAGCAGUCAACGUUAUGGACUUAUAUGGACCACGAACAGGUGCUUUAUGAAGUGACAAUUCAUGAACGGGUGCUUCAUGAAGUGACUUUUCCUUUGAUCAUAACUAUCAAUUAGUUAUAUGAGUCAAGUUCAAUGAAUGUAAGAAUUAAUUUCAACGGACAUCCAUGAAAGGACACACUAAAAAGUUGUCUUUCUAUGUCUUAUCCUUUCAAUAAAAAUCACAUCCUUUCAUAUUCAUUCACCAAGAGUUACGACCUUUGAUUAGAGUCACAUCUACUCACUAAGAGUCGCAUUUGUACUAAGGGUUGCAUCCAUUCACUAAAACUCAAAGGACAAAAUAAAUAUAUAUUUUAAAAAUUUCCUUACAUUCAUGCCACAAUGUAUUGGCACAUAGAUAUCGUGCCAACAGCAUAGAUUGACACGGCAUAGCACGAUGGUGUGCCAUGCCACACCGUUGCUUAGCAUGAACCUGCAACUGACUAAGUGCAAAAUGUAGAUCAGAAGAUGAAAGAUGGGCAACCAAAAAAAAAAAGAGAAAGUAAGAUUUGUAGUUUCUGCAAGGGGCAUUUUAGCCAACUAAUCUCAUCCAAACUUUAUAUUCUAAAAAUAGGCCUACGAAAAUCGUAUUUACGGAAAUAGGCACGAAACUGCCACGUAAGCAGUGAGAUAGCGGAGGAAGAUAGAAGCCGUGAACCAAGUACCACUUUCAAGUGAAGACGGUAAAUGAUUCACCGCUUUCAUAAAAUUUUAAAAAUCCUAUGAAGGCGGUGAAUGGUUCACCGCCUUCAUGCAAUUCCCCGCGCAGAAUAUAAUAGUUAUGAACGCGGUGAAUGGUUCACUGCAUAUUAAGGCGGUGAAUCAUUUACCGCUUUUAUAUGCAGUGAUCCAUUCACCGCAUUUAUGAUAACCCCCACCCAGCCAAUUAGUUUGCAGAUUCCCACAUUAUACAAAAUAGCAAUAUUUUCAAGCAUUUCAAUUACAAGAAUAAAUACACAAAAUCAUCUAUAUCAACUUCAACCACACUUUAAGCAUAUAAAAUGAGCCAUACCAAUAUCAAGAUACUUCAAUAUGAAUAAAUUUAGAUAAUACCAUAAAAAAUCAAUGUAGAAAAAAUCAGAAAUAUCAAAUAUACAUGAGAAUCCCAAAAAUGAUAAACAAAAUCAAGUCCCCUCCAUCCCCCUCACAUGCUCUCGCCCUCGUCCCCUGCCACGUCCACGUCUGCGUCCACAACCGCGUCCUCGACUUCGUCCUCGAAUAUGCAUAUCAUGCUCCAUCCCAGGCUGCACGGGCUCAAUGACAUGCAUCUGAUCAAUAUGCUCAAUGGCGAUGCCCUCGACAAUCGGCUCCACCCCUUGCUCAUCAGCCGAUGGUACUGCGUCUCAAUAUGACCCUAUCAUCGUCGCCUACAUCAAUAUACAACAUCAUCGCAAUGAACCUAUGACGUGGAUGAAACGUCAGGAGGGAUAGGCAUGAAUGGAAUAUCAAAAUAGGAUACCUCUGACGUAGAUGGAAUAUCAAAUGGAGGGAUGGAUGCCGACGAAAUAUCAAACUCCACUUCUGAUGUCGAAGGGAUAUCAGAUGUCGAAGGGACAUCAGAUGGAUGAAUCGGGACAGAUGUCGAUAGAAAAUCAUAUGUAGGCAUGGAGGUGGAGGGAAUAUCACCAAAAUCAUAUACAGGCAUGGAGGUGGAGGGAAAAUCACUGUAAUCAGCAAAAGCCGGAGAAGGAAUAUCCGGAUGCCCUGUCACGGGAAAAGGGCCACCAACAACUACAUUCGAAAAUUCGUACUCCCUACAAUUGAUAGAAGAAGGCAAUCUAAAAUAAUUAUACAAUUGUUAUAUUAAAAUAAUUAUACAAAAGUCAUAUUUUGCAAUACUAACCUGGGUGCAUUUGCUCCUCCUCCAAUAUCAGCACGAAAAUGUUCUCUUUCGGGGCCAGGGAAUAAUACAUCCACAUUAAAGUCACUAUUUAACAUUCUAGAAUAAUACCCCUGAGAUAAAACCAUCUGUUUUUCAACGAAGAUUAUCAAACACGGAGGGUUCCCCGACAAUGCCAUCGCACCACACAAUGAGUCAUCAUCCGUAACUUCAACAACAUCGAACUGAUUCAUCCCAGUCGAAUAUCGGACUUUGAUAAUUAGACGAUACUCAUCUCUUGGGGUAUCGGUCAAUCUAUAUAUUUUUCUCUCGAAUUCUGUAAAUGUAAUAUCCACUGGGAUACACACUUAAUUUCUUACGACCGCCAACGUACUGUGGAUUGCUAUCUUGAGUGAAUAGUUCUCCAUUCCAAUGAACAAUAAUAGCCACAUUACUACGCGCCAUCCUAAUUUUUACAAAAUAUAAUAUUUAUAAACUAACAUAAUCGUAGCAAUAUUUGACCAAUUUAUAAUAUCAAUUUGCAAAUGACAUGUGUUCACUACAUCAGAAAAUAAUAAAUUUAUAAUAUUGUAAUAAUUUUAAAAAAAAAUUAUUAAUUUUUAGUAUAAAUUUAUCAAUUUUCAGUAUAUAUGUAUUUACUACACUCAUUUUUCAAAUUUCAUCAUACGAUGAUGCAAAUGUAAGGAAAUUUUUAAAAUAAUAUAUUUUGUUUAUUAAUUUUUAGUGAAUGGAUGCAACCCUUAGUGAGUGGAUGCAACUCUAAUCAAAGGGUGUAACUCUCAGAGUUAAAGGAUGUGACUUUUAGUGAAAGGAUAUGACAUGAAAAGACACAUCUUUAUCGUGUGUCUCUUCGAGUAUAUGUCCGUUGGAAUUAAUUCUUACAUUUAUUGAACUUGACUCAUAUAACUAAUUGGUAGUUAUGGUCAAAUGAAAAGUCACAAUUGAAAGAUCACUUCACGAAAUACCCGUUCAUGAAUAGUCACUUCAUGAAGCACCCGUUCGUGGUCUAUAUAAGUCCACAGCGUUGGUUGCAGAAACGAAAGUAGAAAAAAAAAGGAACAGUUGAAGAGUUUUAAGUCUCCAUUCAUAAUAAUUCCAUUCUUGUUUUCUUAUUCUUUUUGACAACUUAAUCGAGUAAGUGCUCAAAGGCUCGACUUCGUGUGUGCAAACGCAGUUGAGGUUUAUGCUUCAUUGUAUCUUGGGAGGCUGUUCGUUGACCCGGUGCACACCAAAUUGUUAGAACAGUAGUGACGGAUUAAGCCUUAAGGAAAGUGGCAUUGCUACACGCCUUGAAGCCUUUUUUCAUCUUUCUGUUUCAUACCUUUUUCACUAUCUGCUCUUAAAUCCGAAAAUGUCGACUGCUACUCAACGAGAGAUGACAACAAACUUUAUAAGACUAGAAAGAUUUGAUGGCAUGGACUUCAGGCGCUGGCAGAAGAAAUUAUUUUUCCUUCUGUCGACUCUCAAAGUUGCUUAUAUCCUCACUACUCCAAGACCAGAAGAAAACGAUGAUGAACCUAUUGCACAAACUUGUACAAGACAAAAAUGGGAUGAAGAUGACAAUAUAUGCCGAGGCAACAUUGUAAAUGCUAUGUCGGAUGCGCUUUUUGACGUCUAUCAAAAUAUGAAAAUGGCUAAAGAACUGUGGGAAGGUCUUGAAGAAAAAUACAAAUCCGUGGAUGCCACAAGUAAGAAGUUUCUUGUUAGCAAAUUUAAUAACUAUAAAAUGGUUGAUAGUAGAUAUGUUCUUGAUCAAUUACAUGAAAUUCAACAUAUUCUCAAUCAACUUACUCAACAUAAUAUGAAUAUGGAUGAAUCUAUAAUUGUGGCCUCUAUUAUCGAUAAACUUCCUCCAUCAUGGAAAGACUUUAAGAAAAGUCUUAAGCAUAAAAAGGAAGAGAUUACUCUUAAAGAUUUGGCUAACCAUCUUCGCAUAGAAGAAUAUCGUUUGCAUGAUGGCAAAAAGGAGCAAGAUGCUCGGAGUGUCAAAGUGUAUGUGACGGAAGAUGAGUAUAAUAAAACCCGUCAACCCAUAAAAGAAAAUCGAAAGAGAGCCAAACAUCCGAUCAACCACAACAUGACAAAUAAGAAAAAGAAAGAUGCAUGCUUUCAUUGUGGUAAACCGGGUCACUACAAGAAAGAAUGUCGGUUCCUCGAAAGGGAAAGUGCACCGGAUUCCAAAAGGAAUUUUGUGGCUAUGAUAUCCGAGGCUAACAUACUCGAAGAUGACGGAGUUUGGUGGAUUGAUUCAGGUUCCACAAGACGUGUGCAAGGAUAGAAGUUUAUUUAGAACUUAUGAUGCAUUGGAGGAUGGAAAUGUUCUCUAUGUGGGCAAUUCUUCAACAGCACAAAUCAAAGUAAAGAACACUCCAAUGAGAAAACUGAUGUUGUAAUUGAAACCCCAAAACUUAGAAGAAGUAAAAGAGUUAGAAUUGCUAAAACAUUUGGACCGGAUUUUUAUACUUUUCUUGUUGAGGGUAGUAGAGAAAUGAUUACAGAAAGUUUUCAAUUUUGUUUAAACAUUGACUCAGACCCCUAAACAUUGACUCAGACCCCACAACAUUUGAGGAGGCAAUGAAAUCUCCUGAUGUCACUUUUUGGAAAGAAGCGAUAAAUGAUGAAAUGGACUCAAUUAUGGCCAACCAAACAUGAAAAUUAGUUGAUCUUCCUCAUGGAUGUAAACCUAUUGGGUGUAAAUGGAUUUUCAAAAAAAAAUCAACGUAAAUGGCACCAUAGAUAAAUUCAAGGCAAGACUUGCUGCCAAAGGGUUUACACAAAAAGAAGGCAUUGAUUAUUUUGAUACCUAUGCACCUGUUGCCAGAUUAGCGACCAUUAGAACUUUGAUUGCUCUUGCUUCUAUGUAUAAUUUGAUUAUUCAUCAAAUUGAUGUCAAAGCUGCAUUCUUAAAUGGAGAAUUAGAUGAAAAGUUUAUAUGGAACAGCCCGAGGGCUUUGUUGUUCUUGGACAAGAGCAUAAAGUGUGUAAACUUGUCAUGUCAUUGUAUGGGCUUAAACAAGCACCUAAACAAUGGCAUCAAAAAUUUGAUCAGAUUGUUCUUUCCAAUAGUUAUAAAAUUAAUCAAUCUGAUAAAUGUAUUUAUAGUAAAUUUUCAAAUGGUAAAGGUGUUAUUAUAUGUCUAUAUGUUGAUGACAUGUUAAUUUUUGGCAUCGAUGUUCAGCAAGUAGAAAAUACUAAAAGUUUUUAAUCUUGCAAUUUUGAUAUGAAAGAUAUGGGGGAGGUUGAUAUUAUUUUGGGAAUUAAAAUUAUUCGUGAAAAUAAUGGUUUAUUUUUAACGCAGUCUUAUUAUAUCGAAAAGAUUCUUAGGAAAAAAUUAGUUAUUUUGACUGUACUCCAGUAUCUACUCCUUUUGAUCCUAAUCUAAAAUUAGUUCGCAAUACUGGUAGAUCAAUUAAUCAGUUAGAAUAUUCUAAGAUUAUUGGAAGUUUGAUGUAUGCCAUGUCUUGUACUAGGCCUGAUAUUGCAUUUGCUGUUGGUAAAUUAAGUAGAUUUAUUAGCAAUCCAGGUAAUGUACAUUGGCAUCCUAUUUACAGACUUUUGAAAUAUUUGAAAAAGACUAUGGAAUUUUCUAUAGUGGAUAUCCAACAGUAUUGGAAGGCUAUACAGAUGCCAGUUGGAUAACAAAUCAAGAAGAUCAUGCAUCCACAAGUGGGUAGAUAUUUAUAUUAGGUGGAGGUGCGAUUUCUUGGGGUUCUAAGAAACAAACAUGUAUAGCGGACUCUACCAUGGCAGCAGAAUUUAUAGCACUAGCGUCUGCUAGUAAGGAGGCGAAAUGGAUAAGGAAUUUAUUAUAUGAAAUUCUAGUUUGGCCAAAACCAAUGCCGCCGGUAUCGCUACAUUGCGAUCGUGAGGCUACGCUUUCGAGAGCAUAUAAUCAAACAUACAAUGGGAAGUCAAGACAUAUUGGAUUAAGACAUAGCUAUGUAAAACAACUGAUAUCAGAUGGCAUAAUUACCAUUGAUUUUGUAAGAUCAAACCAAAAUCUUGCGGAUCCGUUGACUAAGGGACUUCCAAGAGAAUUGAUAUUCAAGACAUCAAUGGGGAUGGAUCUCAAGCCCAUAUUACAAAGUCACCAAUGAUAGAAACUCGACUUAACACUUGAAACAUCAUCAAGUCUUAAGUUCAAUGAGCCAAAGUACAUCAUAUGGAGUGAUUGCAAGCACUAUAAUAUAAAAUUUCCAUCCCAAGUGCUUGGUAUCCGUAUUGAAAAGGGAAAGUUGAACUAAUAAAGUUCUUAAUAGACCUACAGUAGUAUUUACUGAAGUGUUAAAUACGGGACACUUCUGGUAGAGUCUACCUAUAUGAAUGUGAAGUGUGGCCGCUUCUAGGAGUUAAGGGCUUGACUCUAACAGCAUUCAUGAAACAGGAUGCGGACACAAGGCCAUAAAAGUGUCAGCAAUAAAAUAGAGCACUCGAUUGAUUAUAAAUUCCUAUGUGUGAGAUAUGUUCGGUUAGUCAAAAAAUAAUUGUUGGUUCAAAGCUUGUCUACCAUUCAAUUAUGUCUAACUUUGAUGAGUUUUCACUAAGUGUAGGUUCAAGUUUUAAUACAACUACACCUAUGCAUACGAUUUUGUCAAGUUGUCAAGAAUUUUGAUUUUUGAUUUUUGAUUUUUGAUUUUUGAUUUUGUUUUAUUUUGUAUUUUGAUGUAUUUUUAUGUAUUUUAAAAAUUGGUAGGGAAUUGUAAGGAAAUUUUUAAAAUAAUAUAUUUUUUUUAUUGAUUUUUAGUGAAUGGAUGCAACCCUUAGUGAGUGGAUGCAACUCUAAUCAAAGGAUGUGACUUUUAGUAAAAGGAUAUGACAUGAAAAGACACAUCUUUAUAGUGUGUCUCUUCGAGUAUAUGUCCGUUGGAAUUAAUUCUUACAUUCAUUGAACUUGACUCAUAUAACUAUUUGGUAGUUAUGGUCAAAUGAAAAGUCACAAUUGAAAGGUCACGUCACGAAAUACCCGUUCGUGGUCUAUAUAAGUCCACAGCGUUGGUUGCAGAAACGAAAGUAGAAAAAAAAAGAAACAGUUGAAGAGUUUAAAUCUCCAUUCAUAAUAAUUUCAUUCUUGUUUUCUUAUUCUUUUUGACAACUUAAUCAAGUGAGAGCUCAAAGGCUCGACUUCGUGUGUGCAAACGCAGUUGAAGUUUAUGCUUCAUUGUAUCCUGGGAGGCUGUUCGUUGACCCGGUGCACACCAAAUUGUUAGAACGGUAGGGAUGGAUUAAGCCUUAAGGAAAGUGGCAUUGCUACACGCCUUGAAGCCUUUUUUCAUCUUUCUAUUUCAUACCUUUUUCACUAUCUGCUCCAACAGCAAAUAGGGUUUAAAAUGUGACCUAAAGUGUGCAUGCUACCAAAUAUAGACAAAAUAUAACUGACAAAAUACAACAAGUUAUAUUGAAAGAACACAAUAAUCUACAAACAAUCAACUGUACUACAAAACCCACUACAACUUUUUUCAAAAAUCUAACCUCUAACCUAAUGAGGACAAUGUGGAUGCAAUGCUGAGGAGAGAGGGUGCGGUGGCGGCCUUGACGGUGGCAGCAGCAGCAGAGUCUUCGGUGCCGGCGACGGCGGCGUCGAAGUCGUCGGGUUCGGGCGGAGUGAGAGAGACAGAGAGGAAAUCGGGGAGAGGAGUAAGGGAGAAAGGAGAAGAGUUCGGGCGGAGUGAGGGAGACAGAGAGGAGAUCGGGGAGAGGAGUGAGGGAGAAAGGAGAAGGGUUCGGGCGGGGUCUAGGGUAUUCUAAUUAAAUGUGGUGAACUGUUCACUGCAUAUAAAAGCGGUAAACGGUUUACCGUAUUUAAAGACGAUGAAUGGUUCACCGCUUUUAAAUGCGGUGAAUAGUUAACCGUCUUUAAAAGUGGUAAACUGUUCACCACCUUUAAAGGAACGCGGUAAACCGUAUUCUUAAUUUUUCACACUAAUUCCCCACACCUGCCAGAGGCCCACAAAUGCGGUGAAUGGUUCACCGCAUAAGUAAAUGCGAUGAACCAUUCACCGCAUAUAAAGAUUUUACUCCGAGGAACUGACCUGGCCUAUUUGAGGCCUACUUUUACAAUAAAAUUUAGAGGACAAUUUUUAGAAAAAAAAUUUUAAGAUUAUUUAUAAAAAAAAUUCGUUUCUGCAACAUAGUACAUUUAUACUGUGCUAUUAAUAAGGUCACAUUUUCUAUUGAGACAUUAUUAUACUGCUGGAACGAAACAUCUAGUGAAUUAUUUAGUCUUCAAACAGAUAUCUGAUGUCACCAAUCUAGGAGAUGAUUACGAACCUAACUCUACAUGCAAAGAACUGCCUCAUGACAAUAUUAAGCGCAAUGAAAGCAAAGUGGAUGAUGAACAAAGAGGAGAAAUUUCAGAAUCCUUUGGAAUUGGAGGUUACGAAAGGAGGGACAACCUCUAAAGCCGAAAGCACCAAGGUGAAACACUAAAAAGAACGCAAAAACAUCACAAAUAUGGCCAUCUCCUUUAUCCAGUGUCCUACAUAGCAAAUUCCGAAAUUCCUCUUAUCUCCUCUUAUUUACUCGAGAACUAGUUGAUUGUUAAUAUACAUAAAAAGUUGUAUAAAACCAAAUAAAAAGGAAAAUGUAAUCUUAAUUUUUUAAGGUUAUGAUAAAUCAACUUGUAGGUAAAUAAACUACCUUAAGAAUUCACAACGACCAGCCAAACUAUGAACUUACAAUCACCCAAGAAAACCAUCAUCAAACAAAGGUGGUCUACAUACAACCUUUUGAGACAUCAGGUAGAUGUUUGCAUUAAAAAGUUUCCGAAAAGAAAAUAAGUUUUCUUAUCCGCUAUAACUUUCUCCUACUAGGCUUUUGUUAGGCUUCUCGCUAUAUUAGCAAGCAAAAUGAUAUCCUAAAUACUUUACCUUAAAUAAGGAAAAUCACAUAAAUAUGUUCCUCUCUAUAAACCAUAAAAGUAAAUUUGAAAUGUGUAAAAUUUCUAAUUUAAAAAUUUUUACAUUUCUAUUUUCCUGAUAUAAUUUGAAAUGUGUGCAGGCCACAGCCUCAGACGGAUUGAGUGAAGAGGCGGACUUUGCAAGUGAAAAGGAUGAAAACAUGUGCAAGAAAGAUGAUUGUGCUAGAGAGACCGCUCAAGAUUUUCUGGAGGAAACUACUCAUAGAGCUUGGAAGGGCGGAGAGGAAACAGAUGCAAAGAAUAUUGGAAGUGAAGACAAUGAUAGAGAUGUAAAAGGAAUCCCUGAUGUGGCACCUCAGGGAGAUUAUAAUACAAAGACACCAGAUAAUACAUACACAAAAGAAAUUAUGAUAGCAAUAGAACAAGAAGAUGAGGCAAGGACACAAGUGAGAUCAGACAAUGAGGAAACAGAAGGUGAAAAGGUAUCAACAUAUCAACUCUGCCCUUUUCAACUUUUGUAGUCUUUUUAAGCAUUUGCUAAUUACUAAACUGUUGACACGUGUAACGAAUUAGGACUGAAGAGGAAACUUGAGCAAUGAUUAUAUGAUUAUAUAGAUAUAAGCCAUAUCUGUUGUUUCCGUGAUACUGUAUUUUCUUUUGUGCUAGUUACCAUUAGCUUUAUUUUUUUAUCAAACCAUUUUAUUAACUUCUUACAAUUUCAUUUAAGCAGAUAUCUAGUGUCAAAGGUGACAGUGAACCCACAAAGGUGGAGAAUGAAUACAUAAGCAACACUGUUGGUGAUGCCUCUGAUACAGGAGAGCCAACUGGGAAGCCUGCAGACGUAGAUGAUGUGGUAGACGAUGUGCAGGAAGAAACCAUAGGAUCUACAUGUGACGAACAACAUCAGGAAAAUAUUGAGAGCAACGAAAAAAACGAGGAUGGUGAACAGAGAGAAGACAAACAUCAAACUCUUCAACAAGAGGAAUUAGUUUCUGAAGUUGAAAAUCAAGAGACAACCUCCACAACAGGCGCUAAAAAGAUGGAGAUCUCAAAAGAAGGCGAAAACCUCAUUAAUAUGGUAACCUGCUUUAUUCAAUUGCAUAGUAUGUUAAAUUCCUUGGGACCUUUCUGGAAGCUAAAAUAACUUACCCAGCAUAUCUUCUCUUACUGACUCGAGAACUAUUUAUUUCUUGAUUGUUAAGGAGAACAAAAUUAUGUCUAAACCGAAGAGCAAAAAAAGUAAGCAAACUUAUUUUUAAGGAUAUGAUAAAUCACCUUGUAGGUGAACUGGUGAAGCAUAUUAGUUUAUAUCAUCAUGGCGGAAAAUUGUCUAAAGUCAAAGUCUGUUCUCAUAAUCACUAAUUGUUACCUCCAUCCAAUACUAGUUAUCUACACAUACAUUAAGGGUUUGUAUAUUGCGCAGUUGUAGAGAUUUUUUACACUCCCUAUCAACCAUUACCACAUGCACCUUGAGCAAACAGAAAGUCAUCAGCUGAACAAGAUACUCGUGCGUCUAAGAUUCUAAAUAGGCCAUAUAGAUUUUGCAUUGAAAGACAAUACAAUAAUUCUAGCCUGUCAACUAUUUUUGAAACUUGUCUUUUAUUAAACCUCUAAUUUACCUACUGUGGGCAGAUUUCUGAAUCAGUAAAUCUGGAGGAAACUAAAAUUGAAAAUGACACGGAUGAUGAGAAGAUCAAGGAGAGCGUUGAAGAUAAUCCCCGAGAUCAUGCCUUGCUUUCACAAACAAGACAUGAUGUAGCAGACGAAGACCACACAAAAGCAGAUCAAAGUUUGGAAGGGAAGGACGGUAAUAUUGUAAGUCUUGAGAAAGAAAGUAUCAAAAGCAAGGGACCUGAUGAGGUUCACCCCAGUGAAUCAGAAGCACAUCAGCGUUUGGUGGACAAAGACAACAAUAUUGUAAGUCUUGAAAAAGAAAGCAUUGAAAGCAAAGGGCCUGAUGAGGUUCAACCCGGUGAAUCAGAAGCCACCAAGGUAGACUUUCUUUUGAAUUCUUCAAAACUUUAUGUAUUUAAUUUAACUAUUCAAUUUGCUUUCCUUAAACUCUCUGUUUUUCCAACAUGCCUCCUCAUCUCAAGUUUGACUUGUGAAAAUUUUGAUCAAGCAGGUUGCUGAAAUUGUUAGCACAACUGACGAAGCUGAAACUACGUCUGUAGAUGGAGGGGAAAGUGUUGAUGUUGACAAAGAUAAGGCAGAGUAUCAAGAGCACAAAAACGUUAUAGAGUCAGUGAUGGAGGAAUAUAAUAAAGGGGGAGCAAAUGAAACACAAAUGGCCAAGAGCCACCAGGUAAUAAUUGAUUCAAUGCCACGUAUGGUUUCGUACUAAGUCCAAAAUUCGUAUAUUUUACUGCAUGGCCAGAAGUAUAGAAACGAUUGAACUAAUAAUUCUUAGCUUCUCCUCUAAAACCCCCAUUUCUAUAUAACAUUAAUUGUUGUCCUAUCUUGAUCAGAUUCCUGAAAUGGAUGAUCUAAGCCCUGAAAAGGCUUCGGAGACAAAUGAAUCGGUGAUGAAAGAUAUGCAUGACAAAACUAAAACAAAGCAUGAAGAAGAGCCAGAUUUUGCAAGUAACAAGCCAAUUAAUCAGACUACCAUGCCUGAACAAAGUCGAAUUCCUGAAGAAGAAAAUACUAUCAUGGAAAGCAAAACAGAGUCAAGCUUCCCAAAGGAUGCAAUUGAAAAUGCCCUGAAAUCAGACCCUGAAGAGAAGGAUGAGGAAAUGCUAAAGAAUGACGAGUCCUCACAUAUUUUCCCAGAGUCCUCUCCCGACGCUGAUCAUAACAUUGCUGAGGGAUUAUGUCAUCAAGAUGAAGGGAACAAGAUAUAUGAGGAUGCAGCACCAGAAACUGCAUUCGGCAAUCAAAGCUGUGAAGCAAAUGAGGAGCAAAGAGAAACAGAGAAAAAAGAUAUGCCUAUGAAGUACAUUGACACUGUAAACAGUCAAGAAGAGACGAUACAUAAAGAAGAUUCUGAUAAUGUGGAAGAGAGCGAGAAGUGUGCAGGAGAGGAUGGAACCGCUUUAACACUUGAGCGAGCAUCUGCAGCAAAGGAUGAUGAACAAAGAGAAGAGAAAUUUCAAAAUCCUCAUGACAUAGAAUCAGAAAUGGACGUUAAGAAAGAAAAGACAACCUCUGAAGCAGAAAGCUCCAAGGUAGCGCACUUUUGGCAAAAACAUCACAAAUAUGUCCAUCUCCUUUAUCCAGUAUCCCACAUAUCAAAUUCCGAAAUUCCUAUUAUCUCCUCUUAUUUAUUCAAGAACUAUUAAGUUAGUUGAUUGUUAAUAUACAUAAAAAGGUGUAUAAAACCAAAUAAAAAGGAAAAUGGAAUCUUAAUUUUUUAAGGUUAUGAUAAAUCAACUUAUAGGUAAAUACACUACCUUAAAAAUUCACAACGACCAGCCAAACUAUGAACUUACAAUCACCCAAGAAAACCAUCAUCAAACAAAGGUGGUCUACAUACAACCUUUUGAGACAUCAGAUAGAUGUUUGCAUUAAAAAGUUUCAGCAAAGAAAAUAAGUUUUCUUAUCUGCUGUUACAUUCUCCUACUAGGCUUUUGUUAGGCUUCUAGCUAUAUUAGCCAGCAUAAUGAUAUCCUAAAUACCUUACCUUAAAUAAGUAAAAUCACAUAAAUAUGUUCCUCCCUAUAAACCUUAAAAGCAAAUUUGAAAUGUGUAAAAUUUCUAAUUUAAAAAUUUUUACAUUUCUAUUUUCCUGAUAUAAUUUGAAUGGUGUGCAGACCACAGCCUCAGACGGAUUGAGUGAAGAGGCGGACUUUGCAAGCGAAAAGGAUGAAAACAUGUGCAAGAAAGGUGAUUGUGCUAGAGAGACCGUUCAAGAUUUUUCGGAGGAAACUACUCAUAGAGCAGGGAAGGGCGGAGAGGAAACAGAUACAAAGAAUAUUGGAGGUGAAGACAAUGAUAGAGAUGUAAAAGGAAUCCCAGAUGUGGCACCUCAGGGAGAUUAUAAUACAAAGACACCAAAUAAUACAUACACAAAAGAAAUUAUGAUAGCAGUAGAACAAGAAGAUGAGGCGAGGACACAAGUGAGUUCAGAUAAUGAAAAAACAGAAGGUGAAAAGGUAUCAACAUAUCAACUCUGCCCUUUUCAACUUUUUUUAGCCUUUUUAAGCAUUUGCUAUUAACUAAACUGUUGAUACGUGUAAGGAAUUAGGGCUAAAGAGGAAACUUGAGCAACGAUUAUAUAAUUAUAUAGAUAUAAGUCAUAUAUGUUGUUUCCGUGAUAUCGUAUUUUCUUUUGUGCUUGCUAUCAUUAGCUUUAUUUUUUGAUCAAACCAUUUUAUUAACUUCUUACAAUUUCAUUUAAGCAGAUAUCCAGUGUCAAAGGUGACAGUGAACCCACAAAGGUGGAGGAUGAAUACAUAAGCAACACUGUUGUUGAUGCCUCUGAUACAGGAGAGCCAACUGGGAAGCCUGCAAACGUAGACGAUGUGGUAGAUGAUGUGCAGGAAGAAACCAUAGGAUCUAUAUGUGAAGAACAACAUCAGGAAAAUGUUGAGAGCAACGAAAAAAAUGAGGAAGGUGAACAGAGAGGAGAGGAACAUCAAACUCUUCAACAAGAGGAAUUAGUUUCUGAAGUUGAAAAUCAAGAGACAACCUCCACAACAGGAGCUAAAAAGAUGGAGAUCUCAAAAGAAGGCGAAAACCUCAUUAAUAUGGUAACCUGCUUUAUUCAAUUGCAUAGUAUGUUAAAUUCCUUGGGACCUAUCUGGAAGCUAAAAUAACUUACCCAGCAUAUCUCCUCUUACUGACUCGAGAACCAUUUAUUUCUUGAUUGUUAAGGAGCACAAAAUUAUGUCUAAACAAAGAGCAAAAAAAGUAAACAAACUUAUUUUUAAGGAUAUGAUAAAUCACCUUGUAGGUGAACUCGUGAAACAUACUAGUUUAUAUCACUAUAGCUUUUAGGGAAUUGUCUAAAGUCAAACUCUUUUCUCAUAAUCACAAAUUGUUACCUCCAUCCAAACUAGUUAUCUACAUAUACAUUAAGGGUCUGUACGUUGCGCAGUUGUAGAGAUUUUUUACACUCCCUAUCAACCAUUACCACAUGCACCUUGAGCAAACAGUAAGUCAUCUGCUAAACAAGAUACUCGUGCAUCUAAAUAGGCCAUAUAGCUUUUGCAUUGAAAGACAAUACAAUAAUUCUAGCCUGUCAACUAUUUUUGAAACUUGUAUUUUAUUAAACUUCUAAUUUACCAACUGUGGGCAGAUUUCUGAAUCAGUAAAUCUGGAGGAAACUAAAAUUGAAAAUGACACGGAUGACGAGAAGAUCAAGGAGAGCAUUGAAGAUAAUCCCCGAGAUCUUGCC